rnacentral:rRNA from 1 species
UACGUAGGGUGCAAGCGUUGUCCGGAAUUAUUGGGCGUAAAGAGCUUGUAGGCGGUUUGUCGCGUCUGCUGUGAAAUUUCGGGGCUCAACCCCGAACUUGCAGUGGGUACGGGCAGGCUAGAGUGUGGUAGGGGAGAUCGGAAUUCCUGGUGUAGCGGUGAAAUGCGCAGAUAUCAGGAGGAACACCGGUGGCGAAGGCGGAUCUCUGGGCCAUUACUGACGCUGAGGAGCGAAAGCGUGGGGAGCGAACAGG